rnacentral:rRNA from 1 species
UACGGGGGGGGCAAGCGUUGUUCGGAAUUACUGGGCGUAAAGGGCUCGUAGGUGGCCAACUAAGUCAGACGUGAAAUCCCUCGGCUUAACCGGGGAACGGCGUCUGAUACUGGAUGGCUUGAGUUCGGGAGAGGGAUGCGGAAUUCCAGGUGUAGCGGUGAAAUGCGUAGAUAUCGUGGAGAACACCCGUGGCGAAAACGGGCUUCUGGCAGAUUCCUGACGCUGAGGCGCGAAGGCUAGGGGAGCGAACGGG